ensembl:lncRNA
CAGCAGUACAGUUUAUGAAGCAAUAUCCUCCUAUCCACUGCAGAAUGCAGCAAUCUACUGCACUGUUGCAUACUUGCGUUACAGUAGCCUUGGCUAUGUGGACAUAGCCUUGGUUAUUAGAAGCUGUAGACUGGAGCAUACAGGAAUGAGACAACACUGAGAAAGUGGGGACAACAGUAUUUCAUCAAAAAGAAGCUCAUUUCCUUCCAGGAGCAGACCACACAGAAAACAUGGACACGGAUUACUUUAUCAGGUCCUGCUGUCACCCAAAGGCUCAUCCCUGCAGAGCUCAGGGGUCUGGCUUCAUGACUCGGCUUUAAACGGACGCUCAGCUUUCCUAGGGAGCAUUAAAGACGUUUUCAUCGGAGAAGGUUCUCCUCAUGAUGCUAAAUGACACGUUGAUGUAACCAAUGAAUUCCAGUUGAAACUUCCAUCCAUGGUAAACAGUGGAAUCAGAGAUGAAUCCUUUAUUUGGAUCAGUCCAUAUCCAGUGCUUCUCUUGCAACUUGCUUUUGUUUUCUCAAUGUCUCAGAUAACUUCAUGUUAGGCCAUGAGCAGAUGUCCUCC